AUGAUCACGGAGUUGCCACAUGAGAUCGGGAACCUCCAGAAUUUGGAGAAUCUGAACCUGCAUGGGACCAUGCUGGUAGAGCUCCCUGCGGAGACUGGGAAGUUGCAGCAUUUGAAAAAGCUGUGUGUGGGCUCCUCGCCAAUGGUCACAAUGCUACCUAGUGAAAUCGGUGACCUGCAGCAGUUAGAGACAUUGGACCUGAGUUACAACAGAGGGCUCACACAACUUCCUCGUGAGAUGGGGAAACUGCAGAAUUUGAAGCGGCUGCUCUUGAAUGAUAUAGGGGUGGUGAAGAUACCAAGGGAAAUCGGAUGGCUGAAGAAGCUAGAGAUUUUGAAAUUAGACGAUACCAUCAGUGCGCUACCCUGGGAAGCUAGUCAUCUCUCGAAACUGGAGGGAGCGCCCAAGUGCGUCCGCCAAGCCUGGAAGAAGAGUGAUCUUGUGUCUGAGUUAGCCGGGGAGAUCUUGUCCAUUCGACUGGUCAAUCGGUCCACUGAUAGCGGGGGCCUAAUCGUUGGCAGAAAACACAUGGGAAUUCCACGGUGUAUCAAGGAUCACUUCAAUGACCUUAGUUCCUUGGAUAUCAGGAUAUGCAAACUGGACGAGCGGGACCUCAAGAUUCUGCGGGAGAUGUACCUGGGCGAACUCACGCUAAGGUUUGAAGUCGUCCCAAGAAAGCCCAUAGCCAUCAGCGGUGAAGGAUUCCCAUGCCUCAUGCAACUCGUUGUUGACAGCCGUUGUGUGCCAUGGUUUACCUUCCAGGAAGGAGCGAUGCCGUGGCUGCAUAGGCUUGAGUUCGAGUUCCAGUUCUACGGUGGCCCACCUCCAGCUGCAAAUAAAGGAGACCCUCAGCUGGGUAUCAAGCACCUCGGGAGCCUCGAGUGGGUCGAAUUUAUAUGCAACGAGGAAUGGUAUGGAGGAGCAGCAGAGAGCAGGAGCCCGUGCAUGAGCGACAUGAUUGACAUGGCCAGGAAAGAAGCCCAGGAGCAUCCCAACAAGAUCUACUUUCUUGUCACUGGCCGCGAGAAAGAGGAAUUUCCAGCAAUCAAGGAGAGCGCACAGGCUUCCAGCAGCGGGACAAGCAAGAUCGACGACACUCCAAAUAGUGGGAGGGGCGAGAUCCAGGAGGAGGAAGAGACUUUUCCAAGGAACGAGAGCCGAAAGGUUUCCGGCAGUGGGACGACUGGCGAGAUCCAGGAAGAAGCGUGA
rnacentral:rRNA from 1 species